rnacentral:rRNA from 1 species
UACGAGGGGGCAAGCGUUGUUCGGAAUUAUUGGGCGUAAAGGGUGCGUAGGCGGUUUGGUAAGUCUUAUGUGAAAUCUACAGGCUCAACUUGUAGUCUGCAUGAGAAACUGCCGGGCUUGAGUAUGGGAGAGGUGAGUGGAAUUCCUGGUGUAGCGGUGAAAUGCGUAGAUAUCAGGAGGAACACCUGUGGCGAAAGCGGCUCACUGGACCAAUAACUGACGCUGAUGCACGAAAGCUAGGGGAGCAAACAGG